CUCUCUCUCUCUCUCUCUCUCUCUCUUCAGCUUUUCACUUCCUCUCUCUGUCCCUCUUCCUCUCAGCUGCUCCUCUCCCAUCCCUCUCUCACCGCCGUUCCUCCUUGCGUUCGUCGGCAACCGGAGCACCUCCUUCUCCUCUACCAUCGCCAUCGUAAAGAGAGAAGACUAUAAAUGUACCAAACAUGACUUUAUUUUCUCCGAGUGGAAGAUUCUAUGAGAAGUCUCACAAGACGAAUGACUGGAUUGAUUCUCGAUGCGGUGACCUACAUGUAAGAAUUUAACAAUAGAAUGAGAUGGAGACCCCCUUCUACCAUAUCCGAAGCUGCAUCAAGAGCAUGUGAUAAGAAGAUGCAGACCCUGAUAUGUUUUGUUAUUAAGAUUUUCUUUAAUUUGGAUUUUAAUUGUUUGUUUGUAUAGUAUAUGUAUUUGUUGGAUUAUACUAUGUUUAUUGAUUCUUAUUUUAUUUGAUAUGUACGGUUAAUAGUUAAAUUUUUAUGUGGUUGAAAAUUGAAUGGUA